rnacentral:rRNA from 1 species
AGUGAACGCUGGCGGCAGGCCUAACACAUGCAAGUCGAGCGGCAGCGGGUCGUAGCAAUACGAUGCCGGCGAGCGGCGGACGGGUGAGGAAUACAUCGGAAUCUACCCAGUCGUGGGGGAUAACGUAGGGAAACUUACGCUAAUACCGCAUACGACCUGAGGGUGAAAGCAGGGGACCGCAAGGCCUUGCGCGGUUGGAUGAGCCGAUGUCGGAUUAGCUAGUUGGUGAGGUAAAGGCUCACAAAGGCGACGGUCCGUAGCUGGUCUGAGAGGAUGAUCGGCCACACUGGAACUGAGACACGGUCCAGACUCCUACGGGAGGCAGCAGUGGGGAAUAUUGGACAAUGGGCGCAAGCCUGAUCUAGCCAUGCCGCGUGUGUGAAGAAGGCCUUCGGGUUGUAAAGCACUUUUGUCCGGGAAGAAAUCUUCCGACCUAAUACGUCGGGAGGAUGACGGUACCGGAAGAAUAAGCACCGGCUAACUUCGUGCCAGCCGCCGCGGUAAGAC